AAGAAAACAAAAGCCUCUGAUGAUCAGGCAGAGGCUCCACAGGCUCUUAGAUUGCCAGGCCUCAGUGCUCGCUGUCUGAACUGAGGUCCACCCAACUGAGCUCCCCGGGAGGCAGAAGCUGCAUCACUGCACCCAGACAUCCACUUUCACGGACACCCGGCUGGUUCCCUGAGGAUCAUCUCACUGGCAGCAUUCAGGGCUGUGCAUGCCCCCCCAGCCUCCCCCCCCCUCCCCCGCACAAAUUCAAGGGGAAGCUCCCUGGGCUUCGUCUGUGAGCAGAUGGGAAAAAGCUCACAGAGGGUAAUUAUAGCUCUGGCCCUUUUAUACCAGCCGUGGUGCAGAAAGAGGAAGGAAGCCUGCAUGGAGCCCUUUGACGUAAGGCUCCCCCGCUCCCCCCCCCCAUGUGUGAAUUAGACUCAUAUGAUGAGACCUGAGGCGGCUGCCUUGUUUGCCUCAGAGGAAAGAAACCGCAGCUUCUCCCUUACGGCUCCCACAGCUGCUGCCCAGCAACAGGCUCCCUCCACCACUCCACCCCCCACCCCCCGCGGCGGCAGCAGCAGCAAUGAAGGAGGGGGAGGGUCUUUUGGGAAGGCCCAACCUCUCAGUCAGAGGCUGCAUCACUCCUCCUUUCAGGACGUCUGGAUGCACCUGCUCAACAAAUCCAGAGACAUCCCCCCCACAAAUGGAGACCAAUGAAAACCAGACAAGGAACUUUGGGGAAGGGGAGGUGGAGGGCAACAAAGUCAUUCAGAGCCCCUUUGCUCUCCUGGGCUCUGCAGUUGCUGGAGAAAGACCCAGCUCACCACUACAGAAGCCCUGCUUGAGACCAUGGACCCCACACCACUUGUGAGGCCGGUGGGGGAUGGCUGCAGGCAGCCAAGUCCAAAGGGCCAGAGCCGCUUUCAUUCCGCUGCCCCCUUCUUGCUUUCUGCUGUCCUCGUGGGGGAGGGCAGAAGGCGACCAUGCAACUGGGCAUCUUAUGCCCACACUCUUGAUGCCCAUCCUUAGAACAGGACAGGACUGGGCUGCUGCCAGACGGUAGUUGGUGAGCAAAAUUGCCCCCGGCUGGAAAGCAUCCACCCCAGCCUUAGGAGAGGCUGUGGUCCAUGGGCUGCCCUGGGCCCAAAGGGCCGAAGAGCUGCUCUGGUGCUGAAGAUGUAUCGGAAUCAGGCGAAGUCCCACACCGGUGCAGAGAGCACUUGAUCUUCCUCCAGGCUUGGCGAAGCAAUCUUGUCUCCUGUUCCGGAUUCUGCAAGGCUGCGCGUUAGAAGCAAAAUAAACCCUGUGAAAAGGUGUAUGCAAAUACUGCUUCUAAUCUGCACAAACAAAGCUGAGUGAUUAAUUACAGUCACAAUAUUGCAACAUCUGGGUACUUUGUUGCUUGUUUAAAGACCGUUUCAAAGAGCUGCUUGCAAACCAAGCCUUGCAAGGUCACAGCCCCCGUUACUGGCCAAAUCAUCCUGCUUCGGUGCCUCGCCUCGGAACCAUCAAAGCCCAUCCCAGCCGCUGUGGGGGUCUGCCCCUCUUGCAGAGGUGCCAGGUGAGCUCCAGACAGCAACCUGGGCAGCAGGCAGAGGCUGCCUGGCAAGGAAGCCACAGAUAAACAAGACCCUCAGCAGUUAUAUAAUUAGGCAAUGACGUCUCUCUCUCUUGAACACAAUGUUCAGAAAGAGCCUUAUCUGCAAACCGCAGGAAGCCUUCGAAAAAGGAGCCAGCAAUUAGCAGGCUGCUGAGGCAGAACGGAGCUGGGUCACUUCUGCUGGCUCUUCCCCGGGAGGGGGGGGUCGGCUUUGUCCCCCAACUUUAAGCUCUAGAUUAAGGCAGGGCUUCUACAGCAGCCUUGGAGAUGGGGUGCAACCCUAAACAGUCAUUGCUGGGCAUCGGUUGCUUCCUUUAAGCCAGUUCUAGCACCAGCAAGGAGCUUUGCCCUGGAAGCAGUAGGGAUGCCUUCUGGCUGGGGUGGGGGAGGGGAUUAAGGGCCACACAAAAGAAGGGCCAGUAAGGGCUCUGCUCCCCUCCAGCCUCCCUUCAGUUAUUCUGUUCUGCCCCAGUCCCAGCUCCAUGGGGAAGAAAGGGCUUCCUUUGGGUUGGCACUCGGGCGGGAGGGGGCCACCCAUGGGAGACUGGUAAGCAAUGGGCCACUCUCAGAGAGCGGAGCCACUGGCUGCGAGGGGAAAGGGGGGAGGCUGCACCCCAAGAAGGCUUUCAUUGUGUGGGAGAGCUCUGGAAAGGAUUCCUCCCUUCAAUCAGCUGAUUGCGCGCCUUUGUCUUGCAGGCAGAAUGAAAACAGAAUCCCGGAGCCAGAAUUGCCCAUGGUUGGUGUGGCUAAGCUAAUAUUCUGGCCUCGGUGCCUUUUCAAAAAAAAAUAAAAAAAAAUUACUGCUUGUGACUUUGUUAUUCUAGCUUGCUAUUCCUGCCUGCCCCCAUGGCAGAGUAAAAUAUUUGGGGAAAUGAAUCAGCAGCAUUCUUGACAGCUGUUCAUAGCUCCAAAACCUGAAGAUCUUCUGGGCUAAAGAAAAAAACAUUUCUCCACCCCUCAGACCAAAUCCCAAACUCCUCUCCAGCCUCACAAAGAAAUACUUGCUAAAUUUAUUCAUGGGGUGGGGGGGAAAACCGGAGAGAAGACCCCAGGCUCUUUAUAAAGCCAUGUUUUUCUUCCUCCAGUGGGUCCCCAUCCAGGUGGCCCUCUCAGACCCAGCUGCAGAAGGCUGCCCAGCAGGGUCAACCAGGGAAUCACCUCCCAGCGGCGGGACAAGGCCUCCACCUGCUGGUCACCUUCCCCACCCCUCAGGCCCUCUCCCGCCCUCCCAGAACUUGGGGCAGGGAUGCCAGUUGAGAGCCAGUAAGGAGCACCUGGCCGGCUGGGGUAAACUUUCCCAGGUACCCAGUGAUGAAAUUCAAAUCUUUUACUACCGGUUCUGUAGGCAUGGCUUGGUGGGCAUGGCAGGGGAAGAAUACUGCAAAAUCUCCAUUCCCACCCCACUCUGGAGCCAGCCAGAGGUGGUAUUUGCUGGUUCUCCAAACUACUCAAAAUUUCCUCUUAACAGUUCUCCAGAACCUGUUGGAUUUCACCCCUGCAGGUGCCCCCACCCGGCUUCCUCCAGGUGCUUCAGAAGGGGGCUAUGAGGUCCUCCAAUGUGCCCCCCCCCAUCUCUUAUGCUUAGAAAUCUCAUCCCUGAGGAAUUAACGAGAGGGAGCCGUCGGGAUUGCUUGGUUUUAGACCCUCUCCCUCCACCUAUGCCAAGGAAAGUUCCCAGCUAUAGGGUGCUUGGUCCCUUUCACUCUCGGGGUGUGGGUGGGUGGGGCUCCUGAAAGCUUAAUCACCCAGAGGGUAGGCAAAUUCUUUCCCAGGGAUGAUGUUCCUCUACCAGAAGCAAUGCACAUCUGAGUCUGGGGCAGAGUCAACCUCCUGGGGGUGCCAAGGGAGCUUUUGGCAUGGGGCUAUCAUUGGGGGGGGAGCCCCCCCCAAAGAUGGCAACUGAGGAGGCGGCAAGGGGCAACAACUGCUGGCCUCCCAGAAGGGAGAGAGGGCAGAGGCAGCAUUAUAACCAGGGAUUAUUCUGGAGGAGCCUGAGGGCCUCCAGCUGGCACCCAGGUAUAAAAGGCCAGAUGCUUCGUUCCUGCCUCCUUGCCCAGCGGGAGGGUCCACCUUGCCCUCCAGCCGCCUGCCCGUCUGUCAGCAGCACAAGGUACAGAAGCUGGUCUGCCUGGCCCAUUCUCCAGGCCAGCAGGGCCUCCAGGCCUGGCGGUAAAUGGCCUUCGAUGUUGACCUGGGGAGCCCAGUUGUCCUCCGGCUGCCAAUGCCCAGAGGCUCCCGCACACCUGUCCCACCAGAGGUGGGGGGGAAGGGGAUCCCUCCCUCCCUCUCUCUCUCUCUCUCUCUCUGGGGGGCAUUUGAGAGCAGAACUUGUGAUCCUUCAGGUGACUCUUCAGGUUUCCUUCUUCAGUGUGGUCUAUAACUUCACUGAUAGUGCAGGGACUUUGGGUGGCUGGCUGGGCAUGGAGAGCUGUAGGAGAAAUGUCCUGCCAAUACCCGCCUCUUCCCCUUUGCUCUCUGAGACUUAUGUUCCUGCAAUCUUUGUCAAUGCAUUUUGAAGUUUGCAGACCGAGGCUGAGUAAAUAGCCUCUUCUCAUUCUGUUUAUUUGCAGAACCGACACAUCAUAACUUAUGUAAGUUAUUCCAUUUGGCAAGGUGACAAAGGCAGGAUUGGCACAAAAUGUCUAAAUUAUGACCUCUUUCUUAGCAAUAACAGAGUCUCACAUUGUUAAUUAAAGACAAUCAGAUUUAAAGUCCCAAAAGUGAAAGUCUGUUUUGCUUGUGAAAAGGGAGGCCAUAGCAAAUCGGGGUGGGGGGCGGUGGGUGUCUUUCUAUGGGGCUAGAUUGCUUUUACCAAGUGGGCCACUUGGAACCAGGUGUAAUUGCUGGUGCCCAGUUGGUGACUCUUCUCUGACUGGGGCUGCUGCAGCUGAGGCCAAGCGGUGUCCACUCUGGGGCCUUCCUGGGUGGAAAAAGGGACUGCUUGGUGGCUGUUCCGGGGGCGACAUUUGCAUCCUGCCCCCUUAACUGAGCAAGCGCCCUUUAGCACCACCUCUUUGCCCUUUUGGUGAGCGGCAGUAGCAGCACCAAAACAAAGGACUCGCCAGCAGAAGCUGAGAACAAGAAGUCCUCCAUGCUAAUAAGGCACAUGUUGCAUAACUUGGAAGCAGCUCCGUGCCAGGAUUGCAGCAGCCACUGGAUGGCGCCCAGGGGCGGGGCAGCGCUCCCCAGCCUACACUCUCCAAGCCCAGCCAAGGCAGACACACGACUCCCUCAUUCCACUCAAAACCCCAAGGUGGCUGCACAGAUUGCCACUGUGCCAGGUGCGAAGUCCAUUUGGGUCACUUCAAGCACCCACGAGAGCCACAGGGGCCCCAAGUGGCCCGGAAGGGGUUGGCAAGGCUGUUUGGAUGCUGGUCCCUGGUCACCCAAUCCUGCGCACAAAGGAGCAGCCACUUUCUGCAGAAUGUCCGGGAAGGGUGGCAGGUGGUCAGACCAUGCAAUUUCAGAGGCUUCUUUUCUCCUCUUCACUGUCUGUAGCCACUAAGGCUGUUCUGGACCUAUGGAAAGGGUGGGGAAAGCUGCAGCUGUGUGUCCUCCCCGCCCACUCACCCCACCUUCUUGCUGCAGUUGGAAGGACCAUGUCAAAGCCAACUCCAUGUCAAUGAUGUAGGAGUGUCCCAAACACGUUUCUGGUGGACCAGCCUUGAGACCAAACUGGGCUUGGCAGAUGCUCUGUGAGGCUCGCUCGUUCACACCCUGGCCUUUUCCUUGAGGACUGCCUGAAAACAAUCCUGACAGCUUCCGAGGACAACUGGGAGCCCCGGGACUUUGAGGACUCGGAGGAAGCCGCCCUGGCCGAUGCGGUGGACACGCUUGAAUGGGCCAUGCAAGACAGCAAGUCCUCUUCGGCUGCUGGGAGCCUGCAGAAGCACAUGGAUGACAGCGACUUUGGUGGAAGCGACUCCGGCAGUUUUGCCUCCAAGGACUCGGAGCACCUGUUAUGUUCGGAAGACUCCGAGCACACAGAGGAUGGCCGUUUACUGCGAAGUCUAGAUCUGGAACACGACAAGGGGAGCACCGGAUUCAAACAAAAGCGAACGUAAGGAGCUGCGGCCAGCCCUGCUAACCCUGAGUAUCAGUGAAGGCGGGAUAUUCUGGUCAACCUUCCCAAGCAAUCAUCUGCAGACCCCGAAGAUCUCAGCUCAGAGGUUUUUGCAAUGCAGGACCAGUCUAGUUCCUCUAUUCCCAGAUUCAAAUCCUUGUGCGGCCUGAACUAAGAUCCUUUUUGUAAAAAGAUUUUAUAAAAACUGCCAGAAAGAGCUGACCCAGUAAAUGUGCAAGACUUGCUAAGGAUAAAACCACCGUAACCAACUGCAAUCUCUUCAGUAAGUGCCUCCUCCUCUUCCUCAUUUCUCCAAUGCUUUCGGAAUAUUCCCUUCACAUGCAUACACACGUGUUCAUAAACUCUAUAGACUGACCUUCCUGACGCAUCUGGCUGUUUCUUUUAUGAUGGUGGCUUAGAGUCCUCUCCCUCUUGUAAGCAUAGGAACAAAAUGCCCCCCAUGGGGCAAUUCCCCACAGGGACAGAAAUAUUUAACUGA